UACGAAGGGGGCUAGCGUUGCUCGGAAUCACUGGGCGUAAAGGGUGCGUAGGCGGGUCUUUAAGUCAGGGGUGAAAUCCUGGAGCUCAACUCCAGAACUGCCCUUGAUACUGAAGAUCUUGAGUUCGGGAGAGGUGAGUGGAACUGCGAGUGUAGAGGUGAAAUUCGUAGAUAUUCGCAAGAACACCAGUGGCGAAGGCGGCUCACUGGCCCGAUACUGACGCUGAGGCACGAAAGCGUGGGGAGCAAACGGG
rnacentral:rRNA from 1 species